AAGCCAGACUCCUACGGGAGGCAGCAGUGGGGGAUAUUGCACAAUGGGGGGAACCCUGAUGCAGCGACGCCGCGUGGGUGAAGGAGUGCUUCGGCAUGUAAAUCCCUAUCGGCAGGGAAGAAGCAAGACGGUACCUGACUAAGAAGCCCCGGCUAACUACGUGCCAGCAGCCGCGGUAAUACGUAGGGGGCGAGCGUUAUCCGGAUUCACUGGGUGUAAAGGGAGCGUAGACGGCCAUGCAAGCCUGGAGUGAAAGCCCGGGGCCCAACCCCGGGACUGCUCUGGGAACUGUGCGGCUGGAGUGCGGGAGGGGCAGGCGGAAUUCCUGGUGUAGCGGUGAAAUGCGUAGAUAUCAGGAGGAACACCGGCGGCGAAGGCGGCCUGCUGGACCGCGACUGACGUUGAGGCUCGAAAGCGUGGGGAGCAAACAGGAUUAGAUACCCCCGUAGA
rnacentral:rRNA from 1 species